rnacentral:lncRNA from 1 species
AUAUUGUUUAAUUACUUAAAAUGUAUAACAACAAAUUAUUAAUUGGGUACUGAGCAGACCCCUUCAGAACUGUGGUGUAGUGUCACAAUGCCAUUGCUGAAUAGAUGCUGUUGUAUAAUGCUGUUGUGCAUUUGGACUUCAUUCAUCGUCUUAGAUGACUAAAGUUUUAUUUUAAAAUGGUUUCCACGCCAUCAGGGAAGGCCCUAGAAUGAGUUCAGUACUGACUGUUAUUCAGGUUCCUUUAUACUAUUGCAGUUACCUUAAUCGGUUGUCUACCUGAAAUGUCUCUGUUGCUUUUUGUUCACUGUUCCUAGGUUAUUUGUACUUAUAACUUGUUUUUAUUGUUACACACUCCUUUGCUUGUAACCUGCAAUUAACUUUUGCAUACAUUUUGAAGAUAAUUAUAGCAUUAGAGCUGCUAGAGUCAGAUCCCAUAUUUGCCGUCCCAGCCUUGUUCUCUUUUUGAAUAUUAAUCCUCCAUUCUCACUUUCCUUCACUGUUCCUUUACUUGUGCUUUACUGCUUCUGUAUAAAGGUCUUCUUCACCUAUUUCAACUUUUAAUUUGUACCCAGCAAUUUGUCCCAGCCACUUCUCUUCCUGACCAUUCCUUUUCCACAAUAAUCUUUUCUUAAUUGCCCUGCCCCAUAGGAUUUCUGUUUACCUAGCAGAA